UGACCACCCAAUCAUGGGUUAAGGCCAUACGGACAGCCGGGUCAACUGCCGA
rnacentral:sRNA from 1 species